CCUACGGGGGGCAGCAGUGGGGAAUAUUGCACAAUGGGCGCAAGCCUGAUGCAGCCAUGCCGCGUGUGUGAAGAAGGCCUUCGGGUUGUAAAGCACUUUCAGCGGGGAGGAAGGCGGUGAGGUUAAUAACCUCAUCGAUUGACGUUACCCGCAGAAGAAGCACCGGCUAACUCCGUGCCAGCAGCCGCGGUAAUACGGAGGGUGCAAGCGUUAAUCGGAAUUACUGGGCAUAAAGCGCACGCAGGCGGUCUGUCAAGUCGGAUGUGAAAUCCCCGGGCUCAACCUGGGAACUGCAUUCGAAACUGGCAGGCUAGAGUCUUGUAGAGGGGGGUAGAAUUCCAGGUGUAGCGGUGAAAUGCGUAGAGAUCUGGAGGAAUACCGGUGGCGAAGGCGGCCCCCUGGACAAAGACUGACGCUCAGGUGCGAAAGCGUGGGGAGCAAACAGGAUUAGAUACCCUUGUAGUC
rnacentral:rRNA from 1 species